GGAGCUGUGGCAGGCUCCUUCCUCUCAGCACUGGGCCCCCCCCAGGCCAGACAGGGAGCAGGGCCAGCUGCUGAAGGCCCACCGGAGGCUCUGCCCCUGCCGCGGGCGUGGCAGGAGGGGCCAGGAGCCGCGGUCUCUGCUGGAGAAGAGGCCAUCUGUGGCCUCUGCCUGCCUUGACCUCUGGGCCGCCCGUCUGGUCUCCAGGGAGCACAAGGUGCCACCUGGUGGCGGUUUGGGGGCAUUGCA
rnacentral:lncRNA from 1 species